AGUAUUCUAUAAUUAGAGUUUCUCUAAUUUUUGAUGAAGACCAUGUGCUAUUUUUCUAAUCAGAAAAAAGGAAUAACAAAGUCAAGUUAAGAUGAUUUGACUGUAGAAAAACCUGAGAGAUGAUGUGAGGAAUGGCAAGACAGAAUCAAGUAUCCAGCACUUUUCCAAUUAGCUGCUAUGCGGAUAUGAAGAUGGGAAUGGAUGGAUGACAACAUUGGGACUGUCUGGCUGGAUUUCAGAGCAAGAAAGCUAUCAGAUGUUUUCUGUGAGGGGCUUCCAAAUGCAGUAGAAUCCAGAGUACAGUAAGACCCUUGGAUCCCAUAGGCGUCCUGAUUCUGCAGGCUCUUAAAUCCAGGACUGUGGUGAUAUCAUUUAUCCAUCUGAGGCUCUGGGGAUCCCCUCACUGGCCUUCCAGUCUUGCCGAUGCCCUCACACAGAGAGACUUGGCCCAGUUUAAAAUACACACCCCAUCAAAGUUACAAAGCGAUACUCAAAUGGGAAGAGAAAUAACUGCAAUCUGGCUCUUUGUCAUUCUCCAGAAAAUUAAAAAAAAAAAAAAAAAGGAAAGAAAUCAGAACUUAA